rnacentral:rRNA from 1 species
UACAGAGGGUGCGAGCGUUGUUCGGAAUUACUGGGCGUAAAGCGCGCGCAGGCGGCUUUUUAAGUCCACUGGUCAAAUGCCGGGGCUCAACCCCGUGCCCGCCAGGGAUACUGGAGAGCUGGAGACACGUAGAGGCAAGCGGAAUUCCGGGUGUAGCGGUGGAAUGCGUAGAGAUCCGGAAGAACACCGGAGGCGAAGGCGGCUUGCUGGGCGUGAUCUGACGCUGAGGUGCGAAAGCGUGGGGAGCAAACAGG